rnacentral:rRNA from 1 species
CGGUAAUUCCAGCUCCAAUAGCGUAUAUUAAAGUUGUUGCAGUUAAAAAGCUCGUAGUUGGAUUUCUGCGGGGACGGAGCGGCCGGACGCAACUUGCGUCUCGAGCUAGCGCUUUCCCCGCAUCCUGCCGCGAACCGUGCUACCAUUAGCUUGGUGGCGCUGGGGAUCGGCUCGAUUACUUUGAGAAAAAUAGAGUGUUCAAAGCAGGCCACACGCCUUGAAUAAGUUAGCAUGGAGUAAUGACUAAGGACUUUGGUUCUUUUCGUUGGUGUUCGGGACUGAAGUAAUGACUGAUAGGGACAGUUGGGGCGGUCUGUAUUCCAAAGCGAGAGGUGAAAUUCUUAGACCUCCGGAAGACAAACAGCUGCGAAAGCGUUCCGCAAGGAUGUUCCCUUUGAUCAAGAACGAAAGUUGGGGGAUCGAAGACGAUCAGAUACCGUCGUAGUCACAACUAUAAACUAUACCAGCUAGGGAUCGGCCAACGUUUAAUUAUUCGACUUGGUCGGCACCUUAUGAGGAAUCAAAGCAUCUGGGUUCUGGGGGGAGUAUGGUCGCAAGGCUGAAACUUAAAGGAAUUGACGGAAGGGCACCACCAGGCGUGGAGCCUGUGGCUUAAUUUGACUCAACACGGGAAAACUUACCAGGUCCAGACAUAGGAAGGAUUGACAGAUUGAUAGCUCUUUCUUGAUUCUGUGGGUGGUGGUGCAUGGCCGUUUUUAGUCGGUGAAGUGAUUUGUCUGCUUAAUUGCGUUAACGGACGAGACCCCAGCCUGCUAAAUAGCGCGGCCGAGCUUUGCUCGGUGCGAGCCUCUUAGAGGGACCAUGAUGCGCGAUAGCACAAGGAAGUUUGGGGCAACAACAGGUCUGUGAUGCCCUUAGAUGUUCUGGGCCGCACGCGGGCUACACUGGCGCCUGCAACGAGCAUAUCAGCUGGCCCGAGAGGGUCUUGGCUAAUCUUUGGAACCGGCGCCGCGCUUGGGAUUGACCAUUGCAAUUGUUGGUCAUGCAACGAGGAAUGCCUUGUAAACGCGAGUCAUCAGCUCGCAUUGAAUACGUCCCUGCCCUUUGUACACACCGCCCGUCGCUCCUACCGAUGAAUGUUCCGAUGAAAUUUUCGGAGAGCGCCGGAGAACGGGGCUCUGCCCUGCAGAACUGGAGGCUCAAAGUCACUUAAAUCUGAACAUUUCGAGGAAGGAGAAGUCGUAACAAGGUAACC